AGCGGCGGACGGGUGAGUAAUGCCUAGGAAUCUGCCUGGUAGUGGGGGACAACGUUUCGAAAGGAACGCUAAUACCGCAUACGUCCUACGGGAGAAAGCAGGGGACCUUCGGGCCUUGCGCUAUCAGAUGAGCCUAGGUCGGAUUAGCUAGUUGGUGAGGUAAAGGCUCACCAAGGCGACGAUCCGUAACUGGUCUGAGAGGAUGAUCAGUCACACUGGAACUGAGACACGGUCCAGACUCCUACGGGAGGCAGCAGUGGGGAAUAUUGGACAAUGGGCGAAAGCCUGAUCCAGCCAUGCCGCGUGUGUGAAGAAGGUCUUCGGAUUGUAAAGCACUUUAAGUUGGGAGGAAGGGCAGUAAGUUAAUACCUUGCUGUUUUGACGUUACCGACAGAAUAAGCACCGGCUAACUUCGUGCCAGCAGCCGCGGUAAUACGAAGGGUGCAAGCGUUAAUCGGAAUUACUGGGCGUAAAGCGCGCGUAGGUGGUUCGUUAAGUUGGAUGUGAAAGCCCCGGGCUCAACCUGGGAACUGCAUCCAAAACUGGCGAGCUAGAGUAUGGCAGAGGGUGGUGGAAUUUCCUGUGUAGCGGUGAAAUGCGUAGAUAUAGGAAGGAACACCAGUGGCGAAGGCGACCACCUGGGCUAAUACUGACACUGAGGUGCGAAAGC
rnacentral:rRNA from 1 species